rnacentral:tRNA from 1 species
GCAGGGAGCGGCUCAGCGGUAGAGCGCGUGCCUAGCAUGCACAAGGCCCUGGGUUCAAUCCCCAGUACCUCCA